rnacentral:rRNA from 1 species
UGCGUAGGUGGCAUGGUAAGUCAGAAGUGAAAACUAGGGGCUCAACCCCUAGACUGCUUUUGAAACUAUCAGGCUAGAGUACAGGAGAGGCAAGUGGAAUUCCUAGUGUAGCGGUGAAAUGCGUAGAUAUUAGGAGGAACACCAGUGGCGAAGGCGGCUUGCUGGACUGUAACUGACACUGAGGCACGAAAGCGUGGGGAGCAAACA